rnacentral:rRNA from 1 species
ACAUGCCUACAUCAUAUUAUUAAUGCACUGGAUCCCAUUAGAACUCUGUAGUUAAGCACGCUCAAGCUAGAGUAGUACUGGGAUGGGUGACCGCCCGGGAAGUCCUAGUGUUUUACAUGCC